rnacentral:rRNA from 1 species
CCUACGUGAGGCUGCAGUGGGGAAUAUUGCACAAUGGGGGAAACCCUGAUGCAGCGACGCCGCGUGAGUGAAGAAGUAAUUCGUUAUGUAAAGCUCUAUCAGCAGGGAAGAAAAUGACGGUACCUGAGUAAGAAGCCCCGGCUAACUACGUGCCAGCAGCCGCGGUAAUACGUCGGGGGCAAGCGUUAUCCGGAUUUACUGGGUGUAAAGGGAGCGUAGACGGCAGUGCAAGUCUGGAGUGAAAGGCGGGGGCUCAACCCCCGGACUGCUCUGGAAACUGUACGGCGGGAGUGCAGGAGAGGUAAGUGGAAUGCCUGGUGUAGCGGUGAAAUGCGUAGAUAUUAGGAGGAACACCAGUGGCGAAGGCGGCUUACUGGACUGUAACUGACGUUGAGGCUCGAAAGCGUGGGGAGCAAACAGGAUUAGAUACCCUAGUAGUC